rnacentral:rRNA from 1 species
UAGAGUGUNUCAGAGGGAGGUAGAAUUCCACGUGUAGCAGUGAAAUGCGUAGAGAUGUGGAGGAAUACCGAUGGCGAAGGCAGCCUCCUGGGAUAACACUGACGUUCAUGCCCGAAAGCGUGGGUAGCAAACAGGAUUAGAUACCCUGGUAGUNCACGCCCUAAACGAUGUCGAUUAGCUGUUGGGCAGCAUGACUGCUUAGUAGCGAAGCUAACGCGUGAAAUCGACCGCCUGGGGAGUACGGUCGCAAGAUUAAAACUCAAAGGAAUUGACGGGGACCCGCACAAGCGGUGGAUGAUGUGGAUUAAUUCGAUGCAACGCGAAGAACCUUACCUGGUCUUGACAUGUGCGGAACCCUCCAGAGACGGAGGGGUGCCUUCGGGAGCCGUAACACAGGUGCUGCAUGGCUGUCGUCAGCUCGUGUCGUGAGAUGUUGGGUUAAGUCCCGCAACGAGCGCAACCCUUGUCAUUAGUUGCCAUCAUUAAGUUGGGCACUCUAAUGAGACUGCCGGUGACAAGCCGGAGGAAGGUGGGGAUGACGUCAAGUCCUCAUGGCCCUUAUGACCAGGGCUUCACACGUCAUACAAUGGUCGGUACAGAGGGUAGCCAAGCCGCGAGGUGGAGCCAAUCUCACAAAACCGAUCGUAGUCCGGAUUGCACUCUGCAACUCGAGUGCAUGAAGUCGGAAUCGCUAGUAAUCGCAGGUCAGCAUACUGCGGUGAAUACGUUCCCGGGUCUUGUACACACCGCCCGUCACACCAUGGGAGUGGGGGAUACCAGAAGUAGGUAGG